GUCUGGCUGAAAAGCCUAUGAUAGCAUUUCAGGCAUGGAAGGCCAAGACACUGUGACCAAAAAAAUGUUCUACAUGAAGGAUCUUGGAUUUCCCAACUUCUAAUUAAAAAUUAUGAUCAAUUUUCUUUGUAUGAGUUAUUUUGUCAUGGCACUAGAAGAUUGUGAUUCUAUUUAUAACCUACACAUUGGCAUUGUUUAUCAGAAACUGUGAAGUGAGAAGGACUCAGAUAUACAGAGCUAAGUGCCUUAUGGAAAUUUAUGAUUGACUUCAUAGCUUUCCGUUGCCUGUGCAAGUUCUCUAAUGAAAUUACUUCAAUCAAGAAAAGUCAAGCUAAGAAGUAUUGCGAUGUGGCAUCAGAGAAAUAAAAAAGAUUGAAAAGAGAUUUGUUGUAAUGAUGUUUCUGUAACAGUCUAGGGCUCACUAGAAAACAGAGGUCACAGUCAAAUACAGAAACAUGGAAGGAGUUUAACAGAACAGCUAC